rnacentral:tRNA from 1 species
GCCUCGGUAGCUCAGAUGGUAGAGCACUUGCCCGCGAAAAGCAAAGGUCCCGAGUUCGAGUCUCGGUCGGGGACA